rnacentral:rRNA from 1 species
GAUGAACGCUAGCGGCAGGCUUAACACAUGCAAGUCGAGGGGUAUUGGUUUUCGGACCAAGAGACCGGCGCACGGGUGCGUAACGCGUAUGCAAUCUACCUUUUGCAGAGGGAUAGCCCAGAGAAAUUUGGAUUAAUACCUCAUAGUAUAGUACUUUGGCAUCAAGGAACUAUUAAAGUCACAACGGCAAAAGAUGAGCAUGCGUCCAUUAGCUAGUUGGUAAGGUAACGGCUUACCAAGGCUACGAUGGGUAGGGGUCCUGAGAGGGAGAUCCCCCACACUGGUACUGAGACACGGA